UUGGAGUCGCAGCACAGCCGUGGAAAUUGUCAACAGCAGCAAAGUUCUCCAGGCAGAGACAACCAUGCUUCUGGAUGGAAAACAUCCGUCCGAGUUCCCCGAGGAAGAGGGGCUCCGCUUCACCCCGAACAGCCUGAGUGCUGAGCUCCACAAACUGGAUGACAUCCACCGGAUCUGUCCACUCACGCAUUGUGCCGAGGAGUGUCGACACGUUGCUUGUAUGCAGCAGACUACAGCCAUCUUUUAGAAACAACACGAUGGAAACCGCCUUCAGACUGAAAUGAGACUUUUCGUGGACACCUUGUUUCCACGCACGCAACCUUCAAUGACACCAGAAGCCGAUGUGCAGAAAUCUUAGACGUCGAACAGAAAAGAAAAACAUCGAAUGUAUUUGUGUGUCGAGCUUUUAACAAUCCAUCCAUUUUCUGAGCCGCUUCUCCUCACUAGGGUCGCGGGCGUGCCGGAGCCUAUCCCAGCCGUCAUCGGGCAGGAGGCGGGGUACACCCUGAACCGGUUGCCAGCCAAUCGCAGGGCACAUACAAACUAACAACCAUUCGUACGCAGAGUCACACCUACGGGCAAGUUAGAGUCUCCAAUGAAUGCAUGUUUUUGGGAUGCGGGAGGAAACCGGAGUGCUCGGGGAAAAUCCACGCAGGCACGGGGAGAACAUGGAAACUCCACACAGGCGGGGCCGGGGAUUGAAUCCGGGUCCUCAGAACCGUGAGGCUGACGUUCUAACCAGUCGUCCACUGUGCCGCUGCUGUUAAUAAUACUACUGAUAAUAAUACUGAUAAUGAUGUGCACAUGCAAGGUGCUCAAGUGGUUUUUACUUUGUUUGGGUUGUUGUGACCUCAACCAAAGAGGUCAUGGGGGUGGUUCAUGAUCAGCUGACUCUAGAUAUAAUGCAUCAAUUUGAAUGUUUGCUUUGCCAAUUGUUCUUAUCGUCUCGCUCUCGUGGGUUUGCUGUCCAAUCCCCCACCACCCACAGGUCCCCCCAACCAUCCCCCCCGUGCGUUCAUAAACACGAUUGGAUCCAUCAAGAAAUCAAGUUGGCCAAAUGGACAAAUUCGUCGUUUGCAUAAGCAUGUUUAGUCUAAGCUGAUGCUGAGGGGCAUACUAAACGAUAGCGCGUGCAGGAACACGCUCGUUUCCGCUCACGGUCGAGCAUCGCCAAGCUCCACUGUCGUCGGGUGCAGUUUCUGCAUCCAGUGUGCGCUGCUGCCUUCAAGGCUUUUGUGGUGUUGUGCCAAGUAGAGCGACACACUCCAGCGGUGUGUGCAAUGUGGCGUUCAUUUCAAGUUUACGGUGUCUGGGCUCGCACUUUACAGACUCCUUGAUGUAGGGAAAUGCGCGUGUACACGCGUUUACGUCAAAUUAGGUGAAGAAUAUGAAUUUGUGAUGAACCAUUAAAUAUGUAAUGUAAAAAUGCACGCCCAUCGAUGCGAUCCAUGGCUGUGGCGUUCCCGCUCCCGUGUCCACUGAUGCGCCGGGCCAACGUGUUACCAUGGUAACCACGUUAUCCAUUUGAAGUUUAAAGCCAAAGCUUAAGUCGACUCAUGAAUCACUUAUUGUUGAAGAUAAAAUGUUUGUGUACAAUGUGUCACUUUUUGAAAUGGUAUCAUCAACUUGUUCCGAACAUAUGAUUGCAACGUGUAUAUCGGUUUUAAAAAGAAAGCUCAUGUAUAUUAAAUUUUAAUGGGUUUAAUGAUUCCACAAUGCGGGGUGUUUGCACGAGUGUGUGCGUGUUGCCAGUUGUUCCGUCAUGUAACAAAGAUAAGCUUUGGAAAUUAAAAUGACUUGAUGGUGUGAUAAAUGUGCGUCUGCUGCUGCUUCCAACGUGUCUGACUUAAAAGUAGGUUUUAUUAGUACUUGCAUGUAAAACGCUUGCCGCUUGCCAACAAAGCUGACAAUAUGAAGUUGUCAUUUCUCUUAAUUGUUGAUUAAUGAAAUGUUUAGA